rnacentral:rRNA from 1 species
AUUAGAGUUUGAUCCUGGCUCAGGAUGAACGCUGGCGGCGUGCCUAAUACAUGCAAGUCGAACGCUUUGUGGUUCAACUGAUUUGAAGAGCUUGCUCAGAUAUGACGAUGGACAUUGCAAAGAGUGGCGAACGGGUGAGUAACACGUGGGAAACCUACCUCUUAGCAGGGGAUAACAUUUGGAAACAGAUGCUAAUACCGUAUAACAAUGACAACCGCAUGGUUGUUAUUUAAAAGAUGGUUCUGCUAUCACUAAGAGAUGGUCCCGCGGUGCAUUAGCUAGUUGGUAAGGUAAUGGCUUACCAAGGCGAUGAUGCAUAGCCGAGUUGAGAGACUGAUCGGCCACAAUGGGACUGAGACACGGCCCAUACUCCUACGGGAGGCAGCAGUAGGGAAUCUUCCACAAUGGGCGAAAGCCUGAUGGAGCAACGCCGCGUGUGUGAUGAAGGGUUUCGGCUCGUAAAACACUGUUGUAAGAGAAGAAUGACAUUGAGAGUAACUGUUCAAUGUGUGACGGUAUCUUACCAGAAAGGAACGGCUAAAUACGUGCCAGCAGCCGCGGUAAUACGUAUGUUCCAAGCGUUAUCCGGAUUUAUUGGGCGUAAAGCGAGCGCAGACGGUUAUUUAAGUCUGAAGUGAAAGCCCUCAGCUCAACUGAGGAAUUGCUUUGGAAACUGGAUGACUUGAGUGCAGUAGAGGAAAGUGGAACUCCAUGUGUAGCGGUGAAAUGCGUAGAUAUAUGGAAGAACACCAGUGGCGAAGGCGGCUUUCUGGACUGUAACUGACGUUGAGGCUCGAAAGUGUGGGUAGCAAACAGGAUUAGAUACCCUGGUAGUCCACACCGUAAACGAUGAGUGCUAGGUGUUUGAGGGUUUCCGCCCUUAAGUGCCGCAGCUAACGCAUUAAGCACUCCGCCUGGGGAGUACGACCGCAAGGUUGAAACUCAAAGGAAUUGACGGGGACCCGCACAAGCGGUGGAGCAUGUGGUUUAAUUCGAAGCAACGCGAAGAACCUUACCAGGUCUUGACAUCCCUUGACAACUCCAGAGAUGGAGCGUUCCCUUCGGGGACAAGGUGACAGGUGGUGCAUGGUUGUCGUCAGCUCGUGUCGUGAGAUGUUGGGUUAAGUCCCGCAACGAGCGCAACCCUUAUUACUAGUUGCCAGCAUUCAGUUGGGCACUCUAGUGAGACUGCCGGUGACAAACCGGAGGAAGGUGGGGAUGACGUCAAAUCAUCAUGCCCCUUAUGACCUGGGCUACACACGUGCUACAAUGGCGUAUACAACGAGUUGCCAACCCGCGAGGGUGAGCUAAUCUCUUAAAGUACGUCUCAGUUCGGAUUGUAGGCUGCAACUCGCCUACAUGAAGUCGGAAUCGCUAGUAAUCGCGGAUCAGCACGCCGCGGUGAAUACGUUCCCGGGUCUUGUACACACCGCCCGUCACACCAUGAGAGUUUGUAACACCCAAAGCCGGUGGGGUAACCUUCGGGAGCCAGCCGUCUAAGGUGGGACAGAUGAUUAGGGUGAAGUCGUA